GAUGAAGAACGCAGCGAAAUGCGAUAAGUAAUGUGAAUUGCAGAAUUCCGUGAAUCAUCGAAUCUUUGAACGCACAUUGCGCCCCCUGGCAUUCCGGGGGGCAUGCCUGUCCGAGCGUCAUUUCUGCCCUCAAGCACGGCUUGUGUGUUGGGCGUGGUCCCCCCGGGGACCUGCCCGAAAGGCAGCGGCGACGUCCGUCUGGUCCUCGAGCGUAUGGGGCUCUGUCACUCGCUCGGGAAGGACCUGCGGGGGUUGGUCACCACUAUAUUUUACCACGGUUGACCUCGGAUCAGGUAGGAGUUACCCGCUGAACUUAAGCAUAUCAAUAAGCGGAGGA
rnacentral:misc_RNA from 1 species